rnacentral:tRNA from 1 species
CAGAAAAUAGUUUAAGUAAAAUAUUAAUUUUGGGGAUUAAAGAUGUAUUUUAUUUUUCUGA